rnacentral:rRNA from 1 species
CAGUAGCCACGGUAAUACGUAGGGUGCGAGCGUUAAUCGGAAUUACUGGGCGUAAAGCGUGCGCAGGCGGUUGUGUAAGACAGGUGUGAAAUCCCCGGGCUUAACCUGGGAACUGCGUUCUGAACUGGGUGGCUAGAGUGUGUCAGAGGGGGGUAGAAUUCCACGUGUAGCAGUGAAAUGCGUAGAGAUGUGGAGGAAUACCGAUGGCGAAGGCAGCCCCCUGGGAUAACACUGACGUUCAUGCCCGAAAGCGUGGGUAGCAAACAGGAUUAGAUACCCCCGUAGUCCCUGUCUCUUAUAC